rnacentral:rRNA from 1 species
GACGAAGGAUGCAAGCGUUAUCCGGAUUCAUUGGGUUUAAAGGGAGCGUAGGUGGCCUUAUAAGUCAGUGGUGAAAUCUCUCGGCUUAACUGAGAAAUUGCCAUUGAUACUGUAGGGCUUGAGUACAGUUGCUGUGGGCGGAAUAUGACAUGUAGUGGUGAAAUACAUAGAGAUGUCAUAGAACACCGAUUGCGAAGGCAGCUCACAAAACUGUAACUGACACUGGGGCUCGAAAGUGCGGGGAUCAAACAGG